CCCAUGUGAUGAAAUCUGAUGUUCUUGACUCCCUGAGAGUUAAAACAAAAAAAAACUGAUUUAAUGAGACUGAUGG
rnacentral:snoRNA from 1 species